GUCUAUGGCCAUACCACCCUAAAUGUGCCUAGUCUUGUCUGGUCUCAGAAACUAAACAGGGUUGGGCCUGAUUAGUACUUGAAUGGGAGACAAAUCUUCAGAAGAGACUGCUCAGAGACA
ensembl:rRNA 5S_rRNA 5S ribosomal RNA